AACAUGAUUAUUAUUACGACCACCACCACCAUUACCACCGGCGGUGCGGGCUGACGCAUAUCUGAAUCACGAAAAAAGCCCGCACAAAAAAUUGUGCGGGCUUUUUUUU
rnacentral:sRNA from 1 species